GUGGGGAAUUUUGGACAAUGGGGGCAACCCUGAUCCAGCAAUGCCGCGUGUGUGAAGAAGGCCUUCGGGUUGUAAAGCACUUUUGUCCGGAAAGAAAACGCCGUGGUUAAUACCCGUGGCGGAUGACGGUACCGGAAGAAUAAGCACCGGCUAACUACGUGCCAGCAGCCGCGGUAAUACGUAGGGUGCAAGCGUUAAUCGGAAUUACUGGGCGUAAAGCGUGCGCAGGCGGUCCGCUAAGACAGAUGUGAAAUCCCCGGGCUUAACCUGGGAACUGCAUUGGUGACUGGCAGGCUAGAGUAUGGCAGAGGGGGGUAGAAUUCCACGUGUAGCAGUGAAAUGCGUAGAGAUGUGGAGGAAUACCGAUGGCGAAGGCAGCCCCCUGGGCCAAUACUGACGCUCAUGCACGAAAGCGUGGGGAGCAA
rnacentral:rRNA from 1 species